rfam:Amycolatopsis orientalis HCCB10007, complete genome.
CUUCAGCGAACCGAGCCACAGUGGACGGACGCGCUCCUGUCCGUACGCGGCGAGCAGGGCCUGUGCCUC